ensembl:lncRNA
CUACGCCUUUCGAACAAGAAAGUGAAUGAAAAAAUCUUCAAGUUCACUGACUAUUAUAUUAUAGACUUAGGCAAUGGAUACUUGUGGCAACACUGGCUAACUAAAUGCUGACAAACUGAUUAGGUAACAGUCAACUCACGCCAUGGCUCAAGAGUUUCGGGAAGGAGACUUGUAUCAUAUCGAGGAUCAUUCUGAAGUCACAUGCAAUAGUGGUUCAAUCAAAACAACUUCUCUGUGGUUUGGGAAUCUUGAGCUACUCACUGCCCUGUGGUCUGGUCUCACCACGGACUCCCUGACUGACUCACCGCUUCACAGACAUUAGGAGAUGAUUGUUAGAAGGUGGAGAAGGAAGUAACAUCACCAGAAAGCAGCAAGCUGCCAGACCACCAAAGGACCCUGGAGGUAUUACAGUCAAUACUUAUGAACUGGAUAUUGUAUUUGAAUCAAUCAAUCAAAUGUAUUUAUAAAGCCAUUUUUUACAUCAGCUGAUGUCACAAAGUGCUAUACAGAAAUCCAGCCUAAAACCCCAAACAGCAAUGCAGAUGUAGAAGAAUUGCCCAUUUAUAUCAAUGACACUAGCAAAAUGGUUGGAUUGUUCAGCAACCUGCAGUAAAUGCUAACACGGCUUUGGUGAUGAAAGGUACAUCAUGUAUUUAUUGUAAUCUCAUUAUCAAGCCACUGCAUGCUGUGACAAGGGCCUGGAUGGUGAUACAUCUGUUUCAAGCUGCCUGCCUGAAUACUGAGGCCUUCAGCGAUACCUUCCCUUUGAUUACAGAAAGAAUAUCUUAACCUCUGUCUCAUAGCCAUUUAACAUGUAAUGUAUGUAACCACUCAAAUUCAGAGAAACAUCUACAAACACAAGAACUGACUUAUAUUCACUUGUCCCUGGCUGCGUUUGGACAGGCAGCCCAAUUUGGAUAUUGUGACCAAUCACAGCAGAUCUUUUCACAUCAGCUAUUUUUCAGAGCUGAUGUCAUUGGUCAAAAGACCAUUUUGUGGGAAAAACUCAGACUUGGGCUGCCUAUUUUAACACAGCCUAUUUGUCCUAUUCUUCAGUCUUCUCUGGGAUAAAUAUUUUACACAAGCACACAUUUGUGAUGUCCUUCAUACAUUAAUAAACAUUUAUUCACCC